UGAUCACCCUCGCGCUGGCGCAGAGUCGCUGUAAUGAAUGUUCGGGAAGUUAUGGAGAGAAAGGAUACGAUAGCAGUGAUUAAUGCCAAAACCCUGUUGCUUGUGGAGAGGUUGAUGUUUGACUUUCUUGUACAGCUACAGUUUGUGUGUGAAGGUGCUCCUACCAUGUGGUUGGAUUCCACCAUCUGCCAAGACGGGAUUCGAACCAGGACUUCAGUAGUUUGUUUUAAUAUUCAGGAUAAAAGCUAAAUACAUCAGGUUUGUUCACUCGUUUUGAAG